AUGAACCAGUCAAUCCCAAUAAACAAAAACCCCAUCAGACAUAUUUAUAAUUGCAGUAGACAACAUGAUUCCCCGCUAAACACGCCACUCAGAAUAAUUUCUCUCUCUUUUUUUCUUCCUUAUUUUCCUAGAUAUCAAUUAUAACCAGCCUCACUCCAUCUUCAACCUUUUGUUUUGACGUGCUUCAUGGGACCCCAUAUCCCCAUCAUUUCUCAUCUUCCUCGCCUGUCAUAAUCCUCAACUCAAGAAAAAGAAAAACUCUCCCAACAAAGAAUCAAACCAAUCUUAUCAAUCUCUGCUGUUCUGCCAGAACAGUCCAUGGAGGAUUACAACAGAUCGAGGUCAUAUGGUAACGGAAACAAUAUGCAGAUUGAGAGCUACUACGGGCCGCCGAGACCGCCGCCCCACACUUCUUAUGAUCUAAGGUGCUACAGUGCAUCUUAUGCGCAGACCCAGAUGGCUAAUAAUAACAACUUCAACACCAAGGAUUUUAAGUUCAAGAAAGGAAAAGACGCCGCUUCUGGUUCUGGGUCUUUUUCCAAAUCUUGGAGCUUUGCUGACCCGGAGUUUCAGAGGAAGAAGAGGGUUGCUAGCUAUAAAAUGUACAGUGUUGAGGGGAAGGUCAAAGGAUCUUUCAGGAAGAGUUUCCGGUGGCUCAAGGAUAGGUACUCGCAGGUUGUUUAUGGCUGGUGGUGAUUCUGAUUGCAACUUUGCACUUCUGCCAUUUUGACCUUUAUAUAGACAAAUCAUCAAGGUGGAGAAGUCAGAAGAUGAUCAUAAAAAAUCAGCAUUCAAUUUCUUCCAAAAGGGCCCGGAAAGCUGGAACAGUUGGAAGGUUUUAUUAAUUCGGAGGCAGUCUUCAUUGAGGAAGAACAGAGAGAGGUUUCAAAAUCUUCUUGAUAUAUUAACCCGCAAUCUAUUGAUGUUAUAUGAAAUAUAUCAUGAUCUGAUAUGAUAAUUUUUUUUUCACCCCCUAUUCUGUGUACCCAAAUUGUUAUUUGAUUGAUAUGAACUUAGGGAACUGUCUGAAUUAUAUGUACUUUGCCUAUUUGUUUGUGCAGAAGAUACUGUAAUGAGAAAAGAUUUCUUUUCAAAUUUAUAUAAGCAGAUUCUUUUUGCUA